UACGUAGGGUGCAAGCGUUAAUCGGAAUUACUGGGCGUAAAGCGUGCGUAGGCGGUUAGGCAAGUCAGAUGUGAAAUCCCCGGGCUCAACCUGGGAACUGCAUUCGAGACGGGCUUGCUGGAGUGCGGCAGAGGGGGAUGGAAUUCCGCGUGUAGCGGUGAAAUGCGUAGAGAUGUGGAGGAACACCGGUGGCGAAGGCGGCGUCCUGGGCCGGCACUGACGCUCAGGCGCGAAAGCGUGGGGAGCAAACAGG
rnacentral:rRNA from 1 species